AUUGAACGCUAGCGGCAUGCUUUACACAUGCAAGUCGAACGGUAACAGGCCGCAAGGUGCUGACGAGUGGCGAACGGGUGAGUAAUGCAUCGGAACGUGCCCAGUCGUGGGGGAUAACGCAGCGAAAGCUGCGCUAAUACCGCAUACGAUCUCUGGAUGAAAGCGGGGGACCGAAAGGCCUCGCGCGAUUGGAGCGGCCGAUGUCAGAUUAGGUAGUUGGUGGGGUAAAGGCCCACCAAGCCAACGAUCUGUAGCUGGUCUGAGAGGACGACCAGCCACACUGGGACUGAGACACGGCCCAGACUCCUACGGGAGGCAGCAGUGGGGAAUUUUGGACAAUGGGCGCAAGCCUGAUCCAGCAAUGCCGCGUGCAGGAAGAAGGCCUUCGGGUUGUAAACUGCUUUUGUACGGAACGAAACGGUCCGGGUUAAUACCCUGGGCUAAUGACGGUACCGUAAGAAUAAGCACCGGCUAACUACGUGCCAGCAGCCGCCGCCGUAA
rnacentral:rRNA from 1 species